UACGUAGGCAGCAAGCGUUGUUCGGAAUUACUGGGCGUAAAGAGUGUGUAGGCGGUGCUCCAAGUCUGGUGUGAAAUCUCCCGGCUUAACUGGGAGGGUGCAUUAGAAACUGGAAUGCUAGAGGAUGGGAGAGGUAAGCGGAAUUCCCGGUGUAGCGGUGAAAUGCGCAGAUAUCGGGAAGAACACCCGUGGCGAAGGCGGCACUCUGGGACGGUACUGACGCUGAAACGCGAAAGCGUGGGGAGCGAACAGG
rnacentral:rRNA from 1 species